GUGUGUGGAUGGUGUUCAGUACCAGGGACAGAUGUGAUAACUUGUGUGUGGAUGGUGUUCAGUACCAGGGACAGAUGUGAUUACCU
rnacentral:pre_miRNA from 1 species